GCACAGUGGCUCACACUUGUAAUUCCAUCACUUUGGGAGGCUGAGGCAGGAGAUCACUGGAAGCCAAGAGUUUGAGACCAGCCUGGGCCAUGAAACAAGGCUCCCUUUACAGGAAAAAAAAAAAAAAAAAAAAAAGGAAAAAAGAGUGUACAGAUUGGGUCUCACCAUGUUUAUAUGUAUCUCUCUCUCUCUCUCUCUAUAUAUAUAUAUAUCUAUAUAUAUCUGUUGCCCAGGCUGGAGUGCAGUGGCACGAUCUUGGCUCACUGCAACCUCCGCCUCCCAGGUUCAAGCAAUUCUCCUGCCUCGGCCUCCAAGUAGCUGGGAUUACAGGCUUCCACCACCAUGCCUGGCUA
rnacentral:lncRNA from 1 species